rnacentral:rRNA from 1 species
UACGAGGGGGGCGAGCGUUGUUCGGAAUUAUUGGGCGUAAAGGGUGCGUAGGCGGUUUGGUAAGUCUGAUGUGAAAUCUAUGGGCUCAACUCAUAGUCUGCAUCGGAAACUGCCGGGCUUGAGUAUGGGAGAGGUGAGUGGAAUUCCCGGUGUAGCAGUGAAAUGCGUAGAGAUCGGGAGGAACAUCAGUUGCGAAGGCGGCUCUCUGGACCAGCACUGACACUGAGGCACGAAAGCGUGGGGAGCAAACAGGG